CCUACGGGAGGCAGCAGUGAGGAAUAUUGGUCAAUGGACGAGAGUCUGAACCAGCCAAGUAGCGUGAAGGAUGACUGCCCUAUGGGUUGUAAACUUCUUUUAUAUGGGAGUAAAACAGGGUAUGCAUACCCUCUUGUAUGUACAAUAUGAAUAAGGAUCGGCUAACUCCGUGCCAGCAGCCGCGGUAAUACGGAGGAAACGAGCGUUAUCCGAGUUUAUUGGGUUUAAAGGGAGCGUAGGUGGAUUGUUAAGUCAGUGGUCAAAGGUGGGUGCUCAACACCGGCCUGCCGUUGAAACUGGUCUUCUUGAGUGAGCGAGAAGUAUGCGGAAUGCGUGGUGUAGCGGUGAAAUGCAUAGAUAUCACGCAGAACUCCGAUUGCGAAGGCAGCAUACCGGCGCUCAACUGACGCUGAGGCACGAAAGCGUGGGGAUCGAACAGGAUUAGAUACCCUUGUAGUC
rnacentral:rRNA from 1 species